UGUGGAGAGAUAAGGGCUCAAUUAAGAUUUAAGAUCGGGUCCCGGUUCCGGAUCCAGCGUACCCGCCCUACCAUGAGACGAUCACCUUUACUCGUCUCGCUCGUUUUGGCCACUAGAUGGCCUGCAUCAGCCCGUGUCGGCUGUUAUUCCCCCUCUCCCCAUCAAGUUAAACUUAGCCGGACAAUUCUCUUUUCAAUAUGUGUCUCCAUUCAGAUAAUUUCGUUAUCAUGCGUGUGAACAUUUGUUCACCAGUGCGUUUUAUUUACUUUAACAACAUUAAAUGGAACAGGCGACGAAAAACUACAAAGUUAUUGCCAGUCAACAAAAAAAAAAAAGAAGGAAAGAUAUAAAUACCAGGUAUAUCUUUAUAUAAAAGAAAUAAUUCUAAUGAUGGCAGACUGGCAAGAAUACCAAAAGCCUCGCAGACAGACACACCGGCACACAGACAAACAGACAGAAAGGCAGACCAAUAGACCCGCAGACAGUCAGAUGCACGGGAAGACAGAGAGAGGCAGACAGACAGGUAGACAGACACGCAGACCCACAGACUCGCAGACAUACAGACACACAGGAAGAGAGCGAGAGAGAGAGAGAUUCACAGACAGGCAGGCAGACAGAUAGGCAGGAAUACCUACAGCCUUGCAAACAGACAUACCGGCAGAGACAGACAGGUAGACUAACAGACAGACAGAUACGUGGACGGAGAGACAGGCAGACAGACAGACAGUUACACAGACAGACAGACAGAAAGGUAGACAGAUUGACAGAUAAGCAAACGGUCACACAAACCCAUAGACUCGCAGACAUACAGACCCACAGGAAGAGAGAGAGAUACACAGAUAGUCAGGCAAACAGAAAGACAGGAAUACCUACCUCCUCGAUGACAGACACACCGGCAGAGACAGACAGGUAGACUUACAGACAGACAGAUAUAUUGACAGAAAGACUGGCAGACAGACAGACAGGUACACAGACAGACAGGUACACCGACAGACAGGUAGGCACACAGACCGGCAGACAGACAGACCGGCAGACAGACUGACAGAUAGGAAUAUAGGCAAACGGCCACACAGACCCACAGACUCGCAUACAUACAGAUACACUGAAAGAGAGAGAUACACAGACAGUAAGGCUACAGAUAGGCAGACACAGCGGAAAAGACAGCAGGCUGAUAUACAGACAGGCAGAGCAGACAGAUAGAGUUACAGACAGACAGAUAUGUCGACAGAGAGACAGGCAGACGGGCAGACAGACAGACAGGUACACAGAUAUACAGACAGAAAGGCAGAAUGACAGACCGGCAGACAGACUGACAGAUAGGAAGGUAGGCAGACGGUCACACAGACCCACAGACUCGCAGACGUACAGGCGCACAGGAAGAGAGAGAGAGAUACACAGACAGUCA